ACCUGUUGCGGACAGCAUCGAGUGCUGUCCGCAGCGCAAGAAACACACCGUGUCAUGGGAACAACGUGACACUUCUGGGCGUU
rnacentral:sRNA from 19 species